rnacentral:tRNA from 1 species
GCCGGAGUGGUGGAAUUGGCAGACGCAGCGGACUCAAAAUCCGCCGAGCUAACACUCGUGCGGGUUCGACUCCCGCCUUCGGCACCA